rnacentral:lncRNA from 1 species
CAGCCUGGUGUGGACUGAGAAGGAUCCAGGACAAAACUCCAGGAAGCUGUCCGCCUACAUACCCAUUGGAUACCAGCAGGAAUCAGAAGCACAAUCCCCUGUAUCCCUCCUCCAGCUGCUGGGCUGGCAGUUCCAGCUGUUUCAGUUCAUAGCGGCCUCAGUACUGUGUGCUGAAAUGAUUGAGAGAUGCUUCACAUGGUGUCCACCUGAUGAAGCAUCGCCCACCCCUAGCUCCUGAAGUGCCCGUGGAACCGGGCACCCACAGAGUCCCCAUCAGUUCUCUGGAAACAGAAAUGAGACAUUACAAGGCUUAGGUUUUCACCAGCUUGAUCCCUUCAGGCUGCUCACUGACCAGCAUCUGACAGAAAUAUAAAAAUUGUGUGUUGCAGGGAUAUGGGUGUGGCCCCAGAAACCAUGCAAGAAGAAGCACUGACUAACGUCAAGGAGUGAUACCUUGCCUAAGGCCAUAGGUUCCUGGUGGAGCCCUUGUCCUCAGUGAUGGGCCAGCUGCACUUCUGAAAAAUGGUGGUGUGUGCUUAUUCCUGUUGCUUUCCCUGCAGAGAUGACCAGGUGGCACCAACUCUCCUUGUUUUCUCCAGUGUCUUACUGUUGCAGGGCCACAUUCUUGUUCAUGGUGUGGCGGGCUUCAAGCUUUUGUGGCCCCUGGAUGUUUGUGAGCUAAAGGAAAAAGCACGUCAAUAGAAAUGCUGUGCGCUGACUCUGGGUUCCUUGCAAAUGAGGCUUGCAGUGCAUUUGCCUAUAUAAAUAAACCUUUCACACCAGGUGAAAAUGCCAUUUACCUUAGUGCAAAUGUGGAGUAUUCAGGUCUUCUUCGGGUCUUCUCCAGUCAUUCUGUGAGGCAUGGUGUCCCCUCACUCUACUACAGUAGGUUGUAGGGAGAGAUCCCAACAUCUAUACCAAAGACCAUGUCCCUUUGGGCGUCGUCACAGGUAUGUAGGAGGGGUAGAAAAGGAUGAGAGAGAGCGCCCCCCCCCUCGGGAUUGGGCCAGCAUUGGGAAGCAUUCUGGG